UGAGGAAUAUUGCACAAUGGGCGAAAGCCUGAUGCAGCGACACCGCGUGAAGGAUGAAGGUCUUAGGAUUGUAAACUUCUGUUAAAUGGGAAAAAAGACUCGCUUCAAAUAAAAGCGAGGGAUGAUGGUACCAUUAGAGAAAGCACCGGCUAACUUCGUGCCAGCAGCCGCGGUAAUACGAGGGGUGCAAACGUUAUUCGGAAUUACUGGGUGUAAAGGGUACGUAGACGGCAUAUUAAGUCAGUUGUUAAAUUCCCCAGCCUAACUGGGGGUAGGCGAUUGAAACUGAUAAGCUAGAGGAUGAGAGAGAGAAGUGGAAUUCUCGGAGUAGCGGUAAAAUGCGUAGAUCUCGAGAGGAACACCGAUGGCGAAGGCAGCUUCUUGGCUCAUUUCUGACGCUGAGGUACGAAAGCGUGGGGAGCAAACAGG
rnacentral:rRNA from 1 species